CAAACAGGAUUAGAUACCCUGGUAGUCCACGCCGUAAACGAUGUCGACUUGGAGGUUGUUCCCUUGAGGAGUGGCUUCCGGAGCUAACGCGUUAAGUCGACCGCCUGGGGAGUACGGCCGCAAGGUUAAAACUCAAAUGAAUUGACGGGGGCCCGCACAAGCGGUGGAGCAUGUGGUUUAAUUCGAUGCAACGCGAAGAACCUUACCUGGUCUUGACAUCCACGGAAUUUUUCAGAGAUGCGUUAGUGCCUUCGGGAACCGUGAGACAGGUGCUGCAUGGCUGUCGUCAGCUCGUGUUGUGAAAUGUUGGGUUAAGUCCCGCAACGAGCGCAACCCUUAUCCUUUGUUGCCAGCGGUCCGGCCGGGAACUCAAAGGAGACUGCCAGUGAUAAACCGGAGGAAGGUGGGGAUGACGUCAAGUCAUCAUGGCCCUUACGACUAGGGCUACACACGUGCUACAAUGGCGCAUACAAAGAGAAGCGACCUCGCGAGAGCAAGCGGACCUCAUAAAGUGCGUCGUAGUCCGGAUUGGAGUCUGCAACUCGACUCCAUGAAGUCGGAAUCGCUAGUAAUCGUGGAUCAGAAUGCCACGGUGAAUACGUUCCCGGGCCUUGUACACACCGCCCGUCACACCAUGGGAGUGGGUUGCAAAAGAAGUAGGUAGCUUAACCUUCGGGA
rnacentral:rRNA from 1 species